rnacentral:rRNA from 1 species
GAUAAACGCUGGCGGCGUGCAUGGGACAUGCAAGUCGAACGGGUGACUCGGAGCUUGCUCUGGGUCGCUAGUGGCGGACGGCUGCGUAACGCGUAGGUGACCUACCCCGAAGUGGGGAAUAACUGCCCGAAAGGGUGGCUAAUACCGCAUGUGAUCGGUCAUUCGAUUGAUUGAUCAAAGCAGCAAUGCGCUUUGGGAGGGGCCUGCGUCCGAUUAGCUCGUUGGUGGGGUAAAGGCGCACCAAGGCGACGAUCGGUAGGUGGUCUGAGAGGACGAUCACCCAGACUGGGACUGAGACACGGCCCAGACUCCUACGGGAGGCAGCAGUCGGGAAUUUGCUCAAUGGGCGCAAGCCUGAAGCAGCAACGCCGCGUGAGGGAUGAAGGCCUUCGGGUUGUAAACCUCUUUUCUCAGGGACGAUUAUGACGGUACCUGAGGAAUAAGCCACGGCUAACUACGUGCCAGCAGCCGCCGUAAUAC